rnacentral:rRNA from 1 species
UAGGGAAUCUUCGGCAAUGGGGGGAACCCUGACCGAGCAACGCCGCGUGAGUGAAGAAGGUUUUCGGAUCGUAAAGCUCUGUUGUUAAGGAAGAACGAGUGUGAGAAUGGAAAGUUCAUACUGUGACGGUACUUAACCAGAAAGGGACGGCUAACUACGUGCCAGCAGCCGCGGUAAUACGUAGGUCCCGAGCGUUGUCCGGAUUUAUUGGGCGUAAAGCGAGCGCAGGCGGUUAGAUAAGUCUGAUGUGAAAGCCCCCGGCUCAACCGGGGAGGGUCAUUGGAAACUGGUUGACUUGAGUGCAGAAGAGGAGAGUGGAAUUCCAUGUGUAGCGGUGAAAUGCGUAGAUAUAUGGAGGAACACCGGUGGCGAAAGCGGCUCUCUGGUCUGUAACUGACGCUGAGGCUCGAAAGCGUGGGGAGCGAACAGG